AGUGGGUAGCAGAUGAAUGCCACUCCUGUCGAUGUGUGAACGGCCAGUCAGAAUGCUACAAGGCCUGCAACAAGGACAGCUGUGCUGAGGGUUACAGGCUGGUGCAGGAGGAAGGAAAGUGCUGUGAAUGCAGAGCAAUCAUUGCAACCACAUCUAAACCGUCCCCAUACCCAGAGUACACUACUGCAUCCACUGCUACUGAGGCUACUG